rnacentral:rRNA from 1 species
UACGUAGGGCGCAAGCGUUGUCCGGAAUUAUUGGGCGUAAAGAGCUCGUAGGCGGCUUGUCGCGUCGUUCGUGAAAACCCACAGCUCAACUGUGGGCUUGCGGUCGAUACGGGCAGGCUGGAGUUCGGUAGGGGAGACUGGAAUUCCUGGUGUAGCGGUGAAAUGCGCAGAUAUCAGGAGGAACACCGGUGGCGAAGGCGGGUCUCUGGGCCGAUACUGACGCUGAGGAGCGAAAGCGUGGGGAGCGAACAGG